rnacentral:misc_RNA from 1 species
GAUGAAGAACGUAGCGAAAUGCGAUAAGUAGUGUGAAUUGCAGAAUUCAGUGAAUCAUCGAAUCUUUGAACGCACAUUGCGCCCCUUGGUAUUCCACGGGGCAUGCCUGUUCGAGCGUCAUUUGUACCUUCAAGCCUUGCUUGGUGUUGGGUGUUUGUCUCGCCUCUGCGCGCAGACUCGCCUCAAAACAAUUGGCAGCCGGCGUAUUGAUUUCGGAGCGCAGUACAUCUCGCGCUUUGCACUCAGAACGACGACGUCCAAAAGUACAUUUUUACACUCUUGACCUCGGAUCAGGUAGGGAUACCCGCUGAACUUAAGCAUAUCAAUAAGCGGAGGA